rnacentral:rRNA from 1 species
CGCUGAACUUAAGCAUAUCAUUAAGCGGAGGAAAAGAAACUAACAAGGAUUCCCCUAGUAACGGCGAGUGAAGCGGGAAGAGCUCAAGCUUAAAAUCUCCAUAUCUUUGAUAUGGCGAAUUGUAGUCUAUAGAAGCGAUUAUCAGCAUAGCAAUAUGGGAAAAGUCCCUUGGAAAAGGGCAGCAUAGAGGGUGAUACUCCCGUCUUUGCCCAGGUUGUCUAUGUGUACGAUACGUUUUCUUUGAGUCGAGUUGUUUGGGAAUGCAGCUCAAAGUAGGUGGUAAAUUCCAUCUAAAGCUAAAUAUUGGUGCAAGACCGAUAGCGAACAAGUACCGUGAGGGAAAGAUGAAAAGAACUUUGAAAAGAGAGUUAAAGAGUACCUGAAACUGUUGAAAGGGAACCGUAACAUGUCCAGUGUUGUAUCUCUUAUAUAUUCCAUUAGUACAGCAAUGCACUGGUGCCCUGUAUAAGAGUGUGACGUCAAAGUCAGUUUGUAUAUUGCGGGAGAUGGUUAGUAAGGAGGUGCGUCACUUUUGUGUCAGUUAUACCUUAUUAUCUAGUAGCCGUGGUAGAGACUGAGGUGCCUACAACAUGCUUUUCAAGUCUAUGUUUGUCUCGUUGUUCUAUUUGUUUGGAUAGCUUGCUAUGCUAAUGAACUAGAGUAGCGAUUGAUAGAUAUAGUAACUUGUUGCUGUUCGGGACUUUGACGAAAUGGAAUGUUACGACCCGUCUUGAAACACGGACCAAGGAGUCUAACAUGUAUGCAAGUAUUAGGGUGUGGAAACCCAAAUGCGUAAUGAAAGUAAAUGCUACCUGUGUAGCUUUGGUAGGAAAGGGCUGUCAUGGUCCUGGCACUAUCGACCGAUCAUGAACCUACGGGUGAAAGAUUUGAGUAUGAGCAUAUAUGUUGGUACCCGAAAGAUGGUGAACUAUGCCUGAAUAGAGUGAAGCCAGGGGAAACUCUGGUGGAAGCUCGUAGCGAUUCUGACGUGCAAAUCGAUCGUCAAAUUUGGGUAUAGGGGCGAAAGACUAAUCGAACCAUCUAGUAGCUGGUUCCCUCCGAAAUUUCCCUCAGGAUAGCAGCAACUUUUUACGAUAGUUUUAUGAGGUAAAGCGAAUGAUUAGAGGCCUCGGGGAAGAAACUUCCUCGACCUAUUCUCAAACUUUAAAUGGGUAAGACCUGUGGGUUUCUUAAUUGAACCCAUAGACGUGAAUAUCCAAGUUGCUAGUGGGCCAUACCGGGUAAGCUGGUCUGGCG